CCUACGGGCGGCUGCAGUGGGGAAUAUUGCACAAUGGGCGCAAGCCUGAUGCAGCCAUGCCGCGUGUGUGAAGAAGGCCUUCAGGUUGUAAAGCACUUUCAGCGGGGAGGAAGGCGUUAAGGUUAAUAACCUUGGCGAUUGACGUUACCCGCAGAAGAAGCACCGGCUAACUCCGUGCCAGCAGCCGCGGUAAUACGGAGGGUGCAAGCGUUAAUCGGAAUUACUGGGCGUAAAGCGCACGCAGGCGGUCUGUCAAGUCGGAUGUGAAAUCCCCGGGCUCAACCUGGGAACUGCAUUCGAAACUGGCAGGCUAGAGUCUUGUAGAGGGGGGUAGAAUUCCAGGUGUAGCGGUGAAAUGCGUAGAGAUCUGGAGGAAUACCGGUGGCGAAGGCGGCCCCCUGGACAAAGACUGACGCUCAGGUGCGAAAGCGUGGGGAGCAAACAGGAUUAGAUACCCGUGUAGUC
rnacentral:rRNA from 1 species